UGAGACACGGCCCAGACUCCUACGGGAGGCAGCAGUGGGGAAUAUUGCACAAUGGGCGAAAGCCUGAUGCAGCGACGCCGCGUGAGGGAUGACGGCCUUCGGGUUGUAAACCUCUUUCGACAGGGACGAAGCGUAAGUGACGGUACCUGUAGAAGAAGCACCGGCCAACUACGUGCCAGCAGCCGCGGUAAUACGUAGGGUGCGAGCGUUGUCCGGAAUUACUGGGCGUAAAGAGCUUGUAGGCGGUUUGUCGCGUCGUCCGUGAAAACUUGGGGCUCAACCCCAAGCUUGCGGGCGAUACGGGCAGACUUGAGUACUGCAGGGGAGACUGGAAUUCCUGGUGUAGCGGUGAAAUGCGCAGAUAUCAGGAGGAACACCGGUGGCGAAGGCGGGUCUCUGGGCAGUAACUGACGCUGAGAAGCGAAAGCGUGGGUAGCGAACAGGAUUAGAUACCCUGGUAGUCCACGCCGUAAACGGUGGGUACUAGGUGUGGGUUUCCUUCCACGGGAUCCGUGCCGUAGCUAACGCAUUAAGUACCCCGCCUGGGGAGUACGGCCGCAAGGCUAAAACUCAAAGGAAUUGACGGGGGCCCGCACAAGCGGCGGAGCAUGUGGAUUAAUUCGAUGCAACGCGAAGAACCUUACCUGGGUUUGACAUACACCGGAAACCUGCAGAGAUGUAGGCCCCCUUGUGGUCGGUGUACAGGUGGUGCAUGGCUGUCGUCAGCUCGUGUCGUGAGAUGUUGGGUUAAGUCCCGCAACGAGCGCAACCCUUAUCUUAUGUUGCCAGCGCGUAAUGGCGGGGACUCGUGAGAGACUGCCGGGGUCAACUCGGAGGAAGGUGGGGACGACGUCAAGUCAUCAUGCCCCUUAUGUCCAGGGCUUCACACAUGCUACAAUGGCCGGUACAGAGGGCUGCGAUACCGUGAGGUGGAGCGAAUCCCUUAAAGCCGGUCUCAGUUCGGAUCGGGGUCUGCAACUCGACCCCGUGAAGUUGGAGUCGCUAGUAAUCGCAGAUCAGCAACGCUGCGGUGAAUACGUUCCCGGGCCUUGUACACACCGCCCGUCACGUCAUGAAAGU
rnacentral:rRNA from 1 species